AAUGAAGUGAGCAUUUUGUCGGGCUGGUAAACAAAUCGUGACGUCAUUGGUUGUAAUCCCUUCACAGCGAUUAAUUCAGGAGGGAUUUCUCUCUUGUUUUUACGCAUUGUCCCCACAUAAGUCAGUUUACGUUGAGCAAGUUCUUCUGACAAUUCGUACGAUGAGAACCAGUUAUCUGCUGUCACAUUGCGCUUCUAAUCGAAAAUGAACCAUGGACUCAUUUUCCACCAGUAUAUAUAAAAUAUCAUCCACUAAUUUUACAAAGUUCAACGUGACCUUUUCUUUAGCGAUUUGGGAAGAAAAUACUGUAUUCCGGCCGAAUAAGACCUCAUUAGGUGUAAUUCCUGUGGACUCAUGCAAUUUUACGUAGUAUUACGGGAAAUAUUGCGUAGGGCAACCAGAGGUCCCAAUUUGAUUCUUUAUAAUAAUGGCGCAGAUACUCUACAAAAAUAUGAUGACUUCGCUCUAAGGAUCCUAAGGAUUGAUGAUGGUCGGAAAAUUUAAUAAAAGAAUGAUCUACUAACUUACGGACCACCGGGGUAGUGAGAGUAUCAUCACAACUUAUAAAAUUGAACAAGUGAUCAUCCCUCAUCCACAAUUCAUCUCUCCAAGUUUUAACUAAGGGGGUGAGAAGAAGAAAGGGGAGAGAAGCAUACGCAAUCGGUAAAUCUUUACUUUUUGGACAUUGACUCAAUACAGCCCUCAUGGAAAAAUCGGAUGCAUCCACAGUCACUAUCUAUGGUUAACUAAAAUCCGG